rnacentral:lncRNA from 10 species
GGCCACUUUCUGUAAAGGGCCAGAUAAAAAUACUUCAGGCUUUUUGAGCCAGAUGGUCUCUUGCAACUAUUGAAUUCUGCCGAUGUGGCAUGAAUGCAGCCGCAGCAUUAGACCAUGUAAAUGAGCAUGUGUGGCUGUAUUCAAUAAAACGUACUUUACAAAAACAAGGUCCAGGCUGUGGGCUAUAGUUUACUGAUUUCAGCUUUGGGGGUUAUGCCCAGGCUUAGAAGUGCUGUGCCAGGAAGUACACAGAUCUUUAGUUUCACCAGAUAGGCCACUUUCCUCCUCAAAGUGGCUGUACCAAUUUAUUCUCCCAGUACAAUGAACAUCUGUUUCCAAACAUCCAUGCCAACGACAGUCAAGAUAGUGAACACACUCAUCACCCUCCACAGUGUCAUGUGCCCUUGGUGAGCCCAUCCUCCAGCCCAUCUCCAUGUUCCCCUUACCCCACGCCCCAACCCCAGCAGCCACCCCUCUGCUCUGGUUCACUGUGCUUUAGUUUGCAUUUCCUAGAAUUGUGUUUAAAUGGAAUCAUGUGAUGUGCACUCUUUGAGGUUUUUUUUUCAGUCU